rnacentral:misc_RNA from 1 species
GGAGAGUCUUGGUUCAACCUUCUGCUUAUUGAAUCAUAGUUUACCAGCGUUGAUACCCAUUAGUAGGUAUCACUCGUUAGUAUGGAAUGAUUGUGAUAUUAUUUGGCACGCUUUUGGUUUGUUCCCUGGUGUGUUCAAACAACAUUAAUGAUACCCUAGCAUCUCUUUUGGUCGGUCAUCCUUUUGGUAGCUUUCUUCCGG